GACGAACGCUGGCGGCGUGCUUAACACAUGCAAGUCGAACGGAAAGGCCCUGCUUUUGUGGGGUGCUCGAGUGGCGAACGGGUGAGUAACACGUGAGUAACCUGCCCUUGACUUUGGGAUAACUUCAGGAAACUGGGGCUAAUACCGGAUAGGAGCUCCUGCUGCAUGGUGGGGGUUGGAAAGUUUCGGCGGUUGGGGAUGGACUCGCGGCUUAUCAGCUUGUUGGUGGGGUAGUGGCUUACCAAGGCUUUGACGGGUAGCCGGCCUGAGAGGGUGACCGGCCACAUUGGGACUGAGAUACGGCCCAGACUCCUACGGGGGGCAGCAGUGGGGAAUAUUGCACAAUGGGCGGAAGCCUGAUGCAGCAACGCCGCGUGCGGGAUGACGGCCUUCGGGUUGUAAACCGCUUUCGCCUGUGACGAAGCGUGAGUGACGGUAAUGGGUAAAGAAGCACCGGCUAACUACGUGCCAGCAGCCGCGGUGAUACGUAGGGUGCGAGCGUUGUCCGGAUUUAUUGGGCGUAAAGGGCUCGUAGGUGGUUGAUCGCGUCGGAAGUGUAAUCUUGGGGCUUAACCCUGAGCGUGCUUUCGAUACGGGUUGACUUGAGGAAGGUAGGGGAGAAUGGAAUUCCUGGUGGAGCGGUGGAAUGCGCAGAUAUCAGGAGGAACACCAGUGGCGAAGGCGGUUCUCUGGGCCUUUCCUGACGCUGAGGAGCGAAAGCGUGGGGAGCGAACAGGCUUAGAAUACCCUGGUAGUCCACGCUGUAAACGGUGGGUACUAGGUGUGGGGUCCAUUCCACGGGUUCCGUGCCGUAGCUAACGCUUUAAGUACCCCGCCUGGGGAGUACGGCCGCAAGGCUAAAACUCAAAGGAAUUGACGGGGCCCCGCACAAGCGGCGGAGCAUGCGGAUUAAUUCGAUGCAACGCGUAGAACCUUACUUGGGUUUGACAUGGAUCGGGAGUGCUCAGAGAUGGGUGUGCCUCUUUUGGGGUCGGUUCACAGGUGGUGCAUGGCUGUCGUCAGCUCGUGUCGUGAGAUGUUGGGUUAAGUCCCGCAACGAGCGCAACCCUUGUUCACUGUUGCCAGCACGUUAUGGUGGGGACUCAGUGGAGACCGCCGGGGUCAACUCGGAGGAAGGUGGGGAUGACGUCAAGUCAUCAUGCCCCUUAUGUCCAGGGCUUCACGCAUGCUACAAUGGCUGGUACAGAGAGUGGCGAGCCUGUAAGGGUGAGCGAAUCUCGGAAAGCCGGUCUCAGUUCGGAUUGGGGUCUGCAACUCGACCUCAUGAAGUCGGAGUCGCUAGUAAUCGCAGAUCAGCAACGCUGCGGUGAAUACGUUCCCGGG
rnacentral:rRNA from 1 species